UGUAAACGAUGUCGAUUUGGAGGUUGUUCCCUUGAGGAGUGGCUUCCGGAGCUAACGCGUUAAAUCGACCGCUGGGGAGUACGGCCGCAAGGUUAAAACUCAAAUGAAUUGACGGGGGCCCGCACAAGCGGUGGAGCAUGUGGUUUAAUUCGAUGCAACGCGAAGAACCUUACCUACUCUUGACAUCCAGAGAAUUUAGCAGAGAUGCUUUAGUGCCUUCGGGAACUCUGAGACAGGUGCUGCAUGGCUGUCGUCAGCUCGUGUUGUGAAAUGUUGGGUUAAGUCCCGCAACGAGCGCAACCCUUAUCCUUUGUUGCCAGCACAUUAUGGUGGGAACUCAAAGGAGACUGCCGGUGAUAAACCGGAGGAAGGUGGGGAUGACGUCAAGUCAUCAUGGCCCUUACGAGUAGGGCUACACACGUGCUACAAUGGCGUAUACAAAGAGAAGCGACCUCGCGAGAGCAAGCGGAACUCAUAAAGUACGUCGUAGUCCGGAUUGGAGUCUGCAACUCGACUCCAUGAAGUCGGAAUCGCUAGUAAUCGUAGAUCAGAAUGCUACGGUGAAUACGUUCCCGGGCCUUGUACACACCGCCCGUCACACCAUGGGAGUGGGUUGCAAAAGAAGUAGGUAGCUUAACCUUCGGGAGGGCGCUUACCACUUUGUGAUUCAUGACUGGGGUGAAGUCGUAACAAGGUAACCA
rnacentral:rRNA from 1 species